UACAGUGAAAAUGACUGUGCUGGGAAAUAUGACGAGAUGCAGUUAUAUCAGUGCAGACUGGAGAUUAACACAAUCAGUGCAAACAAAUGAGAAGCCAGGGCAAAUAACGACAGUGUUCAGUCGAGGUGCCAUGCUGGGUGUGGAUGUGGCCGGGUGGGUAGUAAAAACUGUAAGGGACUACUGAACACACUGACAUCUGUGGGGAAGAAGAUCUUCUUCAGCAGUGGACGGCGGCGCCAACCCAAGCACUUCCAGAAUGGAAGAAAGAUGAACGGUCCAUGUUUGGGGCUGCUCGACACCGAACUGAAGCAAUUGCCCUGAAUGUGGAAAAACCGGCACGGCUUUGGCUCCAAAGACGCGACAGUUUCGUGCUGUGUGAUGGACUGAUAGGAGCCAGCGGUUUCUGAGAAUGGUGCCGACCCAGACACCUCGAGAUGCUUCCCAGAUUCUCCGGAAUGCGGGUGGGAAGAUGUUCCCGGUGGUACACGAGGAGGAGGAUGAUCAGAAACACUCGUGCGAGCCGUGCAAGGCGAGCUUCUCACAGACCUGAGCCUGGCUCGGUUCACGUUACUGACACCAAACUGGAAAGGAGGCGUCCUCCUGCAGACAGGAGGGAUUAUGUCACACUGGAUGAUCCAGCAGAAUUCUGGAUACAUCAUUUUUUUUAGUGGUUAGCGAGGUUCCCUCACACCUCUGGUUCUCA